UGCGGAGGGAUCAUUACCGAGUUAUACAACUCCCAAACCCCUGUGAACUUACCUAUAACGUUGCUUCGGCGGGAAACCGACGGCCCCGUAAGACGGGCCGCCCCCGCCAGAGGACCCCCUAACUCUUGUUAUAUCCUGUUUCUCUGAGUACAACAAGCAAAUAAAUUAAAACUUUCAACAACGGAUCUCUUGGCUCUGGCAUCGAUGAAGAACGCAGCGAAACGCGAUAAGUAAUGUGAAUUGCAGAAUUUAGUGAAUCAUCGAAUCUUUGAACGCACAUUGCGCCCGCCAGUAUUCUGGCGGGCAUGCCUGUCCGAGCGUCAUUACAACCCUCAGGCCCCCGGGCCUGGUGUUGGGGAUCGGCGGAGCCCUCCGGGGCACACGCCGUCCCCCAAAUUCAGUGGCGGUCUCGCUGCAGCCUCCAUUGCGUAGUAGCUAACACCUCGCAACUGGAAGGCGGCGCGGCCACGCCGUAAAACCCCCCCAACUUCUGAAUGUUGACCUCGGAUCAGGUAGGAAUACCCGCUGAACUUAAGCAUAUC
rnacentral:rRNA from 1 species